UACGUAUGGUGCAAGCGUUAUCCGGAUUUACUGGGUGUAAAGGGAGCGCAGGCGGCACGGCAAGCCUGAUGUGAAAGCCCGCGGCCCAACCGCGGGACUGCAUUGGGAACUACCGGGCUGGAGUGCCGGAGAGGUAGGCGGAAUUCCUAGUGUAGCGGUGAAAUGCGUAGAUAUUAGGAGGAACACCAGUGGCGAAGGCGGCCUACUGGACCGUGACUGACGUUGAGGCUCGAGAGCGUGGGGAGCAAACAGG
rnacentral:rRNA from 1 species